rnacentral:tRNA from 1 species
GCGGGCGUGGUGGAAUUGGCAGACACGAUGGACUUAGGAUCCAUUGGGCAACCAUGCAGGUUCAACCCCUGUCGUCCGCACCA